GCUCAGGAUGAACGCUAGCUACAGGCUUAACACAUGCAAGUCGAGGGGCAGCAUGGUCUUAGCUUGCUAAGGCCGAUGGCGACCGGCGCACGGGUGAGUAACACGUAUCCAACCUGCCGUCUACUCUUGGACAGCCUUCUGAAAGGAAGAUUAAUACAAGAUGGCAUCAUGAGUCCGCAUGUUCACAUGAUUAAAGGUAUUCCGG
rnacentral:rRNA from 1 species